GCGGAUGAUGCCGAAUGUGCAAAAAUCUUAGAUAUGUUUGCGGCAGGAGCUGCAGCAGUAGCUUUAACAUCAUUCAACCUCGUUAUGCAGCAACAGGUGGAAGAAGGAGAGGUGGCUGCCCAUGACGACUGCCAGGCAGAGGAGGAGGAAGAGGAGCAGGUGUGCGACAGGGAAGCCGAGGAACAGAGUGAGCAGGAGAAGAGUGUAGUUGAAGUGGUGGGAUCACCGCUGUCUCCUCAGCUGAACCUACACUGAGAUGUCUGUGGAAACAUCUCCAGGGGCUCAUUGGGUGAUUUGUUAGGGAACGAGGAUCCUGAAGAGGAGUUCUUUGAUUGAGAGAUGAACUCUUGUGAUACACUGCAACUGCAAUUGUUUUGUGUGUUUCUUGUUUGCUUGUAUUCUUGUACUACUAUCUGUUAGGAUCUGGUUAUUCCAAGGGUUUUGAAUAUGUGUUUUCUUUUCAAUUUCUUUUCUAGGAUUGAUUUUUAUUACAGGGACUAAAAAAUAUACCCCAGCUCAGUAUCAGUCAAAACACUACUCUUUUCAUUCAUUUUUAUUCAUAGAAGGAGUGAAAAACACUGAAAAAUUAUGAAUAAAUAUCAUGAAAAACCCCCCAAAGUGCUUGAUUGAGGA